rnacentral:lncRNA from 1 species
CAAUGGAAAAAAAAAACUAAAAGAAGACAUGCCAAUGUACAAGUUACAUCAUAAUUUAUGCAUUAUUCCCUGAAUAUGACUUAACUCAGUUAUCCCCUGUGGUGAACGCUUAUUCUUGUUCCUUGGGGUUAAUUCUAUUGACAGUUACACCCACAUCAUCGGCCACUUCAGUUUUUUCGACAUCUUUUGGAGUUCCUGGAGCGAGCCAUAUGCUUCUUCCCUAUCCGAGCCAUAUGCUUCUUCCCUGUCCUAUGUGCCAUAAGUAGAUCUUGAAGCUUAGGGACUAUGUCGUACGAUACAAUGUUGAACACACCAUCAAGGUGAACGGACUUUUUAGUGUUUGAAGGCACUACUUU